CCUACGGGGGGCUGCAGUAGGGAAUAUUGCACAAUGGAGGAAACUCUGAUGCAGCGACGCCGCGUGAGUGAUGAAGGCCCUCGGGUUGUAAAGCUCUGUUCUUAGGGAAUAAAAAAAUGAAGGUACCUAAGGAGAAAGGACCGGCUAACUUCGUGCCAGCAGCCGCGGUAAGACGAGGGGUCCAAGCGUUGUUCGGAAUCAUUGGGCGUAAAGCGGGUGUAGGCGGCCUUGCAAGUCAGAAGUGAAAGCCCUGGGCUCAACCCAGGAAGUGCUUU
rnacentral:rRNA from 1 species